rnacentral:rRNA from 1 species
CAGCAGUCGCCACGGUAAUACGUAGGGUGCAAGCGUUAAUCGGAAUUACUGGGCGUAAAGCGUGCGCAGGCGGUUUGUUAAGACAGAUGUGAAAUCCCCGGGCUCAACCUGGGAACUGCAUUUGUGACUGGCAAGCUAGAGUGUGGCAGAGGGGGGUGGAAUUCCGCGUGUAGCAGUGAAAUGCGUAGAUAUGCGGAGGAACACCGAUGGCGAAGGCAGCCCCCUGGGCCAACACUGACGCUGAGGCACGAAAGCGUGGGGAGCAAACAGGAUUAGAUACCCGGGUAGUCCCUGUCUCUUAUAA